UGUCAGGAUGUAUAGACCCCUAGAUUCAUGUCCUUUACCAAUAAUUUGCUUCUUGUAAGAUCUUGAAAUAGACAAUGAUCAAAGAAAAAUGAGAUACAAUAAUUAAGGGCAUGAGUGAGCUUACUUACAGAAAGUAAAUUGAAAGAAAAUUUUGGUUAACUUAAGGUAGAUGAGAGAGAUUAAUGGAGUUAGAUCAACAGUGCCAGAACCAAGAACAUGUGAUGUUGAUCCAUCUGUUGAAGUAAUACUAGAAGGAGAUGCAUGAGACUGGAAAGCAGAAAAGAGACUAGGGUUACCUGUCAUAUGAUCUAUGACACUAAAAUCAAUAACCCAUUUGGGUAAUGAGGAAACAAGACAUGUGUUUGGUUUACCUAACUCAAUGAUAACAGUGAUAAGAGUAGAUGAAAACUUCAAUGAUUCCUAGUACUGAGAGAAUUUAGCAAAUUCAUUUGCAGAAAUCGUAGUAGUAUCAUCAGUUGUAGAAUUGGUGGUUGCAAUUUGUGCUGAAUAAGAUUUUUGAGUCCAAUUCUGCAAUUUUCUAUAAGUGUGCUUUGUUUGUCCAGACUUAUGACAGUAAUAACAGACAAUCCCUCUUGAAUACUAACUGCGAUUAUCAGCACCUCUUUCACGAUUUUUAGGUCCUCCUCUAUUAUUAUUUUUGUUAUAUGAAUGCCUUGUGUCGGAUGCACUACUUUGACCAAUAAGAGCACUAUUAUUCUGAAACGAUGAGAUACUUUCUGUGUGAAGUACCCUAGUAAAUGUGUCAUGCAAUGAUGAAAUCUCAGGACUAGCAAGAAUCUGAAACUUAGCAAUUUCAAAGUCAGGAGGGAGACUACCUAGGAAACUCAUAAUGGCCAUCUGUUCUCGUUGAGCUUGUUGAACUUUUACAUCUGAAUUGAAUGAUAACAACAUAUUGAGUUCUUCAUAAGUUCUUUUAAAGUCUAUAAAGUAAGAAGUAAUCGUCUUGUCUUGUUUUUCUGCAUGAUAAAAGGCUUUGCACACCUCAUAUACACGAGAAAUAUUUCCUCUCCCAGAAUACAGGAAAUCUAGAUACUCCAUCAAUUCCUUAACGAAUUCACAGUGAUUAAUUAAGCUAAUUACCUCACUUUUGAUGAAGUUUCGCAUCUGUAGAAAUAAUCGGGCAUCAUCUCUCAGCCAUGCCUGUCUAAUACCAUCCAUAGGAGGAGUUUCUAUAAGAUGAUCAUCUUUCUCAAGGCUUAACAGAUAAAGUCGAAUUGUCUUGCUCCAUUCAGGAUCAAGAUGAGCUGUAUGAAGAGAGACACAAUCG